UUUGGUGCUGGGGAUUGAACUCGGGUCCUUGUCAACAAGUAUUUAUGAAGUACCUACCAUGCCUCAGGCAUGGGCUCUUUCCAUGGCAUUUUCAAUCAAGUGAAGCACAUUGGACAGGUGUUGGGAGCAGAGAGCACGUGGAAAAUUCUUGCCUGCUUUUCAACAUCCACCCAAGAAGUAAUCAUUGGGCAAAACUGACCACCAGGCCUCAUCUCACUGCAAGGGGGCUGAAGAAUGUGAGUCACCAGAUGAACAGCAGGGCAGGAACCCAACAUGAGGUCAUCUGGGCCAUACCUCCUGCCUGACCCUGGACCUCAGGCCAAUUUGGGGAGUUUCUCAAGGCCAGUGAGGAAAGGGUUCAUGCCAGAGCUGCUGCAGAACUCAGGUCAUCACUAAGAAGUAGAGGACAGAAGACAAAGCUCCAGCUGGCAGAGAAAGAUGAAUGUGAGAGAAGGAAAAGUUUUAUCUAAGCCUGGAACCCAAGAAGAGAACCUCUGCCUGCCCAAAUCAGAUCAACACAAAUCUAUAUUUUCAAAAAACCUAAAGCAAGGAAAAUGUUAGCUUUAUAAACUCCACUUUGGAAAAGUUUUAGAACAGACCUUAUUAUAGAGUUCCACUAAGGCACCUGGUAUGGUAUUUCAUAUGGAAUUUGAUUCACAGAACUUUUAAUUUCAUCAGUAAAAU
rnacentral:lncRNA from 1 species